rnacentral:rRNA from 1 species
AUGGCCAUGAUGGGCAUCAUAGCGCCGGAGACGGCGUACGAGACGGAGGCCGUGUCUCCGGCCACAGCCAGCGCCGCCGCGGGCGCGCCGCAGCGCAGGGGCUUGCUCCGGAGGAUGAUGCCGCGGGGGCACUACUCGCCCAUCGGCGCCGACCAGAAGACAGACCCUGGAAGGGCGCCCGAGGUGGCACCGAUCGCUGCCCGUGACUCGGAUGUCGCGGAGAAGCCGCGCCGCGGCUGGCUGCGGCGGCUGGUAACGCAGCGGCGGCGCUGGAAGAAUCUGGGCGGCGCCAGCGCGUCGAGGCUGGCCGGACUGUCGCGAUCGCUGCGGUGGAAGCGGCUGUCCGUGAACCUGAGGGGCAGCUGGGCGUCGGCGCUGCUGGACACCGUCGCGUUCCGCGUCAUGUACGUGGUGGAAGCCAUCGUGCUUGGCCUGGCGCUCUCCUGUUUCUUCUGCUGCUGCGGCUGCCAGAUAUAG